AUGGAGCCACAAAGAUCCAUCAACAUGACGGCUGCGAUGGAGGCUCUCUCCCCCUUCUUGAAUAAGCCACGGAGGAUCAUCAUCCAGGUGGAGGCGUUCACGUCAGGGAUCGUAUUGCUGCUCCUCCUGCAGCUCAUCCUUGGGUCCUUGAGGCGGCAGUCGACCAACUUCUUGGUUCAAGCUGGACUCAUAGGUAGAGAAUUUGCAUGCGUAUUGGUUGAGGUUGGCUAUUUCAUUGCCAGAGGAGUUGCCAAGUUCAUGAAGAACCUGCCUGCUGAUGAUGGUGAUGGGUUCGAUCCUGCCACCAUGAAAGGCUACAAGUACCCUGUUCAAAUUUAUGGACUUUGGGGUCGUGUCACCAUCGACCAGAUCUGGCACUGUGAAGGCAGGCUCCUCCGCUCAGGUACUGUUCACUGCAAGGAGCUCAAGGACUUGUGUCUGGCUAAAGCCAUGUAUGAGCUAUUGAAGCGGCGCUACUAUGGGUUGUCAUUCGCCGAGGAACACCUUGAUGAAACCCGUGAUUUUGUCUUCAAGGGAUUACUACAAAAUCAGGAUGACUAUGAGAGACCUUUCCGGAUUGUUGAAAUGGAGUUGGGGUUCUGCCAUGACUACUUCUUUACAAAACAUGCUAUCAUCUUUGAACUUGAGGGAGUAUUCUUCUUUCUCUUCCUUGUGAGGAUUGCUCUUGUUGCCACAUGUGUAUCCUUUGUCGUGCAGAGUACACUAUCUGUCAAGACACUUAAAGCUGUCAUUGAAGUGCACAGCAAAAGGGCUGACGAGAUCAUCACUCUCCUUGUUUUGGCCACAUUCCUUCUCACUGAACUUCUUCAAGCUGCAUUCUAUCUGGCCUCGGAUUGGUGCAAGGUGUCAGUUACUUGUAUCUAUCUCAAAAUAUCUUGUUAUCAACACAAUGCUUUCAUUGAGAAGUUUAUCUGCUAUAUUAGCAGAUUCAAAAUAUUUGGGUACUGGAAGAAUAAGAUUGGUCAGUACUCGAUUAUUCCACACAUUACCGCCGCUGAUUCGUCUGGGGACUGUUACCCAGUGAACAAGUUGCAGACAGUAAAGCGGGCUAUUGCUAGGUCCCUAAUAUCAUGCGCCGGUCCACCAACUAAUGGAGAAGGGUCAUUACAGAGGAACGGUGUGCUUGCAGAGUUUUCUUGGGCAUUGCAUGGUCAUUCACAAGCAGAGAUCAUGUUAAUUUGGAACAUCGCCACUGAUUACUGCAAUAUGAUUCCCCCUACUGGAGACGGGGAGCAACUGAAUGGGACAUCUGAAAAUGAACAAGACACAAAGUUCAACAAGAAUGUUUCAGUCAGCCUAUCAAGAUAUUGUGCAUACUUGAUGAAGUCUGCACCAGAAUUGCUUCCAGGAUACUUCGGAGAUACAAAGCUGGCCAUGGUUGAUGUAGAACGCAAAGCAUACGAAGUUCUAGGAUCCCGGAAUGUUGGACUUGGUUUAAAAUGGUGGAAUGUUUUUUCCCUUUUGGUAAACGGGUUUCUACCCCUGGCCUCUGGAUCUAUUGAUGCAUCCCAGAAUAUUCACCAGGCUAUGAAUGGUUUACAAGACCAAGUGGAAGACAGGAGCAUCUUCAUGAGAGGUGUGAAGCUUGGAAAGCAGCUAGAGCGCAAUCCGAGCAGUGCUCUUCGCUGGAAGAUACUUGCGGAUUUCUGGGCUGAGAAGAUCCUCUACAUCGCACCAUCUGAUAAUGUGAAAGGGCACAUGGAACUUCUCGCAAAGGGAGGAGAGUUUCUCACCCACAUCUGGGUCCUCCUUACUCAUGCUGGCAUCCUCAAGAUUAACAGGGAGGAAGGUAACAACACCAUGCCCAUGCGCCAACCAUCCCAAGGAGAUGUGUAG
rnacentral:rRNA from 1 species